rnacentral:rRNA from 1 species
GAGUUUGAUCCUGGCUCAGGACGAACGCUGGCGGUAUGCUUAACACAUGCAAGUCGAACGAGAAGGAAGAGCUUGCUCUUCCUGAAAGUGGCGAACGGGUGAGUAACGCGUGGGUAACCUACCCUUUGGAAAGGAAUAGCCUCGGGAAACUGGGAGUAAUGCCUUAUAAGAUACGUUUGUCGCAUGGCAUUUGUAUUAAACGCUCCGGCGCCAUAGGAUGGACCCGCGUCCCAUUAGCUAGUUGGUGAGAUAACAGCUCACCAAGGCCACGAUGGGUAACCGGUCUGAGAGGGCGAACGGUCACACUGGAACUGAGACACGGUCCAGACUCCUACGGGAGGCAGCAGUGGGGAAUAUUGCGCAAUGGGGGCAACCCUGACGCAGCAAUACCGCGUGAGUGAAGAAGGUUUUCGGAUCGUAAAGCUCUGUUAUUGGGGAAGAAAAAAAGACGGUACCCAAGAAGAAAGUUCCGGCUAACUACGUGCCAGCAGCCGCGGUAAUACGUAGGGAACAAGCGUUGUCCGGAUUUACUGGGCGUAAAGGGCACGCAGGCGGUUUUUUAAGUCAGAUGUGAAAGGCCACAGCUCAACUGUGGACAUGCAUUUGAAACUGAAAGACUUGAGUAUUGGAGAGGCAAGUGGAAUUCCUAGUGUAGCGGUGAAAUGCGAGUUUGAUCCUGGCUCAGGACGAACGCUGGCGGUAUGCUUAACACAUGCAAGUCGAACGAGAAGGAAGAGCUUGCUCUUCCUGAAAGUGGCGAACGGGUGAGUAACGCGUGGGUAACCUACCCUUUGGAAAGGAAUAGCCUCGGGAAACUGGGAGUAAUGCCUUAUAAGAUACGUUUGUCGCAUGGCAUUUGUAUUAAACGCUCCGGCGCCAUAGGAUGGACCCGCGUCCCAUUAGCUAGUUGGUGAGAUAACAGCUCACCAAGGCCACGAUGGGUAACCGGUCUGAGAGGGCGAACGGUCACACUGGAACUGAGACACGGUCCAGACUCCUACGGGAGGCAGCAGUGGGGAAUAUUGCGCAAUGGGGGCAACCCUGACGCAGCAAUACCGCGUGAGUGAAGAAGGUUUUCGGAUCGUAAAGCUCUGUUAUUGGGGAAGAAAAAAAGACGGUACCCAAGAAGAAAGUUCCGGCUAACUACGUGCCAGCAGCCGCGGUAAUACGUAGGGAACAAGCGUUGUCCGGAUUUACUGGGCGUAAAGGGCACGCAGGCGGUUUUUUAAGUCAGAUGUGAAAGGCCACAGCUCAACUGUGGACAUGCAUUUGAAACUGAAAGACUUGAGUAUUGGAGAGGCAAGUGGAAUUCCUAGUGUAGCGGUGAAAUGC